AAUUUGUCGUAUUGAUAAAUCGUACUGAUAACAGCGAACUGUUAGAGGGAAAUUCUUCAAUGUUUUUUUGCAUUUUGUUAGGCUUACAAAAUUCGUUUCGGGCACAAAAAAACUGUGCUUUUAAUUUCUAGCUCCUGACAAACGUUAUAACUUUUAGAAAUCAUUCCUGAGGUGCAAUUUUUUGGAUCAUUAACAUUUAUCGCACCCACUCGUCGAAUAAGAUUUUUUUUCCUUUCACGGUAGCUUUGACAGAAUUGAACAUCGAACACUUGUUAACGCAUCCGUUCUUAUUUGUUUGGCACCAUUCGGGGGACGUUAAAUGUUUUAUUCUGAUGGUUGACCCUGAGGGUUCACUUGCAGUUUUCACCCACGUAAAGAUGAAUCUGUCUAGCAGUUGAUGAAAUAAAUACAAAAUUCUAUCCCUGAAAUUUUGGAGAAACAUCCUGACCUCAAAAUUAUUGACGAAGAUACAUUUUGGAGGAAACGAUUAAAAACUCAUAAAUCGUUAGCUAAGUGCAAAUCUGUCGAAACCAAGAAACAUCUUCAAUAAUAAUUGUCUUUACCUAAUCGUUGUUGAAGUGAAAUUUACUAAUUUGCCUGAAGCAAUUAAACUCCGUUGACGUCUGUCAAAUUCACUCGAUUAUUCAUCACACGAGACAUUGUAAUGACGCUCAGUGAUAACUCCGCA